rnacentral:rRNA from 1 species
AUGUUAGCGGCGGACGGGUGAGUAACACGUGGGUAACCUGCCUGUAAGACUGGGAUAACUCCGGGAAACCGGGGCUAAUACCGGAUGGUUGUUUGAACCGCAUGGUUCAGACAUAAAAGGUGGCUUCGGCUACCACUUACAGAUGGACCCGCGGCGCAUUAGCUAGUUGGUGAGGUAACGGCUCACCAAGGCGACGAUGCGUAGCCGACCUGAGAGGGUGAUCGGCCACACUGGGACUGAGACACGGCCCAGACUCCUACGGGAGGCAGCAGUAGGGAAUCUUCCGCAAUGGACGAAAGUCUGACGGAGCAACGCCGCGUGAGUGAUGAAGGUUUUCGGAUCGUAAAGCUCUGUUGUUAGGGAAGAACAAGUGCCGUUCAAAUAGGGCGGCACCUUGACGGUACCUAACCAGAAAGCCACGGCUAACUACGUGCCAGCAGCCGCGGUAAUACGUAGGUGGCAAGCGUUGUCCGGAAUUAUUGGGCGUAAAGGGCUCGCAGGCGGUUUCUUAAGUCUGAUGUGAAAGCCCCCGGCUCAACCGGGGAGGGUCAUUGGAAACUGGGGAACUUGAGUGCAGAAGAGGAGAGUGGAAUUCCACGUGUAGCGGUGAAAUGCGUAGAGAUGUGGAGGAACACCAGUGGCGAAGGCGACUCUCUGGUCUGUAACUGACGCUGAGGAGCGAAAGCGUGGGGAGCGAACAGGAUUAGAUACCCUGGUAGUCCACGCCGUAACGAUGAGUGCUAAGUGUUAGGGGUUUCCGCCCCUUAGUGCUGCAGCUAACGCAUUAAGCACUCCGC